AUCGGGUCCCCUUGCUGGCAACCCUUCAACAAUGGUACAUCCUCCUUACACAUUCAUGUAUAUAUUCCUUGGCUCGAUAAAUCAUUAAAUUAAGCUACAGUUACCUCGUUUAGUAGUUUACAGGAGAGCCGGGUCACUACCGUGACCGUCUGAGUUCGCCACGCUGACCGUCUGAGCGGGCUGGUGGGAGUCCUCCAUGAAAGGAUUGUAGAGGUUUGAUUGAGCCUGGCUAAAGCUUCCAUAUCUGGCUGAAUAAAACGUAUCACUCUUGGAGCUACUAUUCCUUACGACAGCAGGAAGAAAGGAGCAGAAAAGAGUAGGAAAAAACCUAGUCUCGUCCUCCAAAAAAGCUGAAGCGUGGUGUAAAGUGCAGAAAUUAAAAAUGGCGAAUUAUCUGUCCAGCAAAUACUACUCAGAAUCUAAAGUGUUAAAGCUAAAACUAAUCCUAGAAAUUUUUGUGAAGAAGACCUAGUGGUAUAGAAAUUACUGAAGAGGCUAAUUGUAUUAAUUGUAAUCAGUGGAAAUCUUUUACUGGAAGUGAGUAAGAUUCCUGCAGAUGUACAGGCUAAAGUUUUCCACAGGAUAUUGGCAUAGUCCUCAUGCAUCCUCAGGCUCUUGUUCCAGCACUUUAGUACAGGAUGGUUCUCUUAGUAUCAGUGGAGAGGUAGCUCAUGCCAUCAAUCUCAGUGGACUGAGGGAAGUGUGUAUUAGGAGAGUGGAAAAAGAUGAAGUGACACUUGAUUUGGUUGAAUUCAUAUUUAAAGUGAGUUAUGAGUAUGAACUCUAGCAGUGCAUGUACAAGCAUGUGUGAUACUUAAAACCUUUAUUGAACC